rnacentral:lncRNA from 1 species
GGCCGUGUGGUCUGGGUUGGGUUUGAUUUUGCCUCGAUUUUCUUGUAAAAGAACACACAUCUGACUUUUGGGGUCUUGUACGACGAUCCUUAUGUCCAAAUCUGAUCCAAGUCACCUACAAUGGGUCUUUCGAUUGACAAAAACAUAAGAAUUACUAUUGAUGUUUAGGAUUUAACGAGUUUUAACAAGAUUUCAGGAAAACCCAUUAAAGAUUCAGAAUUGAUUUUAGAAAAUUUAUCAAGAAUGAUGUUUGGACAGAUUCCUAGGGUUCUACAAAAUUAGGAAUGAGAUUACUUACCGAACUUGGCACGAUAGAAUGGAUUUGAUGCUAAACCAACACGAAAGCGGAUUGAACGUGAUUGAUCUAAAGCUCGGGAUCAAACUAAAAUUUCAGCAAUGUAGAGAAAAAUUUUUCAAAAGAAAGGAUGAAGAAAGAAUUGGAAAGAAAUAGGGAAAUAAAUUCUAAUUAGGGUUGUUU